GCGGGGAGUGGACGAGAGCACGAGCGCUUUAGAGUACACACCGCUGUGCACAGCGCACGCACACGCAAAGUCAGCUGAUCUCAUCUGAUGCAGAUCUGCUCCUUGAUCAAGUGACAUUUGUCCGGAUUUUUGCCACGAGUGGCGUCGGACCAGCACCGCAGCUGGAUGGCCCGAUUUACAUACCCAGCGCAGCUGAUACUCCAGAAUAAUUUACUAAAAUUAUAUGGACUCAUGUUAUUAAGUCCAGUUCAGUCUGUUAAUGUUGAUAA